rnacentral:lncRNA from 1 species
UCUCUUCUCUCUUUGAUCGUGGCAACAAAUUCUCGAGGAGGCGUAGUCAUUUUUCUUUGCAACAAUUGACAAAUCAUGAGUCAAAAUGCUUUCGUAAUGAUUUGAGAAAGUUCUGAUGAUAAUAAGCCAUGGCCCAUUUGCCAAGAGAGAGAUCAACUCCAACCAAGUUCCACUCAUCGAUGCCAUUUGUACCUCAAUAAAUUCAUAUCCUAUCAACCAACAAACCAUUUCUACAUGUUCUACAAUCUACAAACCUCAUUUAUUUCGAUUCAU